ensembl:snRNA U2 U2 spliceosomal RNA
AUCGCUUCUCAGCCUUUUGGCUAAGAUCAAGUGUAGCAUAUUAUAAUAGAUAGAUUUCAUCAACACUAAAACCUUUU